UAACAGCUGACUUGCAGGCGAGAGCCGGG
rnacentral:piRNA from 1 species